rnacentral:rRNA from 1 species
AUUGAACGCUGGCGGCAGGCCUAACACAUGCAAGUCGAACGGUAACAGGAAACAGCUUGCUGUUUCGCUGACGAGUGGCGGACGGGUGAGUAAUGUCUGGGAAACUGCCUGAUGGAGGGGGAUAACUACUGGAAACGGUAGCUAAUACCGCAUAACGUCGCAAGACCAAAGAGGGGGACCUUCGGGCCUCUUGCCAUCGGAUGUGCCCAGAUGGGAUUAGCUAGUAGGUGGGGUAACGGCUCACCUAGGCGACGAUCCCUAGCUGGUCUGAGAGGAUGACCAGCCACACUGGAACUGAGACACGGUCCAGACUCCUACGGGAGGCAGCAGUGGGGAAUAUUGCACAAUGGGCGCAAGCCUGAUGCAGCCAUGCCGCGUGUAUGAAGAAGGCCUUCGGGUUGUAAAGUACUUUCAGCGGGGAUGAAGGGAGUAAAGUUAAUACCUUUGCUCAUUGACGGUACCCGCAGAAGAAGCACCGGCUAACUACGUG